UUUUCUUUUUGUGUGUCUGUCUAGUUUGAGAAAACCCAAAAAGAUUUUCUUUUCUUCUUUUGCUUGUUGGGAGCUUUCCCGUGGUAGAUAGUUUUCUUUUUCUUUGGGUCAAGGUAGAAGAUAUUGGUUACAAUGUUUAGUGGCUCUUGCAUGCAUACCUGUUUAGCUUUCAAAGACCAUAUUAUUUUGUAUUCUCCUUUGUGUUUGCCUGCAGAUUCCAGCGUAGUCCAAUGCACGAGCACGCUUAUUAUUGUUCACAUCGUUCGGUCGUGCAAGUGAAAGGAAAUAAUGACGAUAUAUGAUGAAGUGAGUGAGCCUGGAAAAGCUGGUAUGAACUCGAUCUAUUUUGUUUUUGUAAAUAUGACUAGCUCAUCAUGCCUGAUUCAGCUUUGUUGUGAGAGACAUGUUUGCAAUGACAACUUAGAGAUCAUACUUGCUUAUGUCAUGCUUACUUAGGUAGGAUCUUAUAAUGGUUUGUCUUGGAUGCCCAGAUGAAUGUUGAGAUGACUGUGAUGUAGUAUGAUAGGAUGGUAUCCUCCUCUGAAUGUGUCAAGUGGCUUGACUUGGCGCAUGUUCACGCAUGUAGUUGAAACAAAAUCAACGUAGCCUCUAUGAUGUUCAUGUUCAUGGUGAUUUAUGUCCUACUCAUGCUUGCACUCAAUGGUAGUUGAUCUCAAUGCAUUUUGAUGACUGUUAUCGCUCUCUAGUUGGUCGCUUCCCAGUCUUUUGCUAGCCUUCACUUGUACUAAGC
rnacentral:lncRNA from 1 species